rnacentral:rRNA from 1 species
UACGUAGGGUGCAAGCGUUGUCCGGAAUUAUUGGGCGUAAAGGGUGCGUAGGCGGUCUGACAAGUCUGAUGUGAAAUCUAUGGGCUCAACCCAUAGCCUGCAUCGGAAACUGUCGGGCUUGAGUAUGGGAGAGGUGAGUGGAAUUUCCGGUGUAGCGGUGAAAUGCGUAGAUAUCGGAAGGAACACCUGUGGCGAAAAGCGGCUCACUGGACCAUUACUGACGCUGAGGCACGAAAGCUAGGGGAGCAAACAGG